UACGUAGGGUGCAAGCGUUGUCCGGAAUUAUUGGGCGUAAAGAGCUCGUAGGCGGUUUGUCGCGUCUGCUGUGAAAACCCGAGGCUCAACCUCGGGCCUGCAGUGGGUACGGGCAGACUAGAGUGCGGUAGGGGAGAUUGGAAUUCCUGGUGUAAGCGGUGGAAUGCGCAGAUAAUCAGGAGGAACACCAAUGGCGAAGGCAGAUCUCUGGGCCGUAACUGACGCUGAGGAGCGAAAGCAUGAGGAGCGAACAG
rnacentral:rRNA from 1 species